AUUGAACGCUGGCGGCAGGCUUAACACAUGCAAGUCGAGCGGAGAUGAGGUGCUUGCACCUUAUCUUAGCGGCGGACGGGUGAGUAAUGCUUAGGAAUCUGCCUAUUAGUGGGGGACAACAUUCCGAAAGGAAUGCUAAUACCGCAUACGUCCUACGGGAGAAAGCAGGGGAUCUUCGGACCUUGCGCUAAUAGAUGAGCCUAAGUCGGAUUAGCUAGUUGGUGGGGUAAAGGCCUACCAAGGCGACGAUCUGUAGCGGGUCUGAGAGGAUGAGCCGGCACACUGGGACUGAGACACGGCCCAGACUCCUACGGGAGGCAGCAGUGGGGAAUAUUGGACAAUGGGGGGAACCCUGAUCCAGCCAUGCCGCGUGUGUGAAGAAGGCCUUAUGGUUGUAAAGCACUUUAAGCGAGGAGGAGGCUACUGAGACUAAUACUCUUGGAUAGUGGACGUUACUCGCAGAAUAAGCACCGGCUAACUCUGUGCCAGCCGCCGCGGUAAAAC
rnacentral:rRNA from 1 species